rnacentral:rRNA from 1 species
GACGAACGCUGGCGGCGUGCUUAACACAUGCAAGUCGAACGAUGAAGCCGGAGCUUGCUCUGGUGAAUUAGUGGCGAACGGGUGAGUAACACGUGAGUAACCUGCCCUUGACUCUGGAAUAACUGCUAGAAAUGGUAGCUAAUACCGGAUACGACCCUCGGCGGCAUCGCCAGGGGGUGGAAAGAAUUUUGGUCAAGGAUGGACUCGCGGCCUAUCAGCUAGUUGGUGGGGUAACGGCUCACCAAGGCGACGACGGGUAGCCGGCCUGAGAGGGUGACCGGCCACACUGGGACUGAGACACGGCCCAGACUCCUACGGGAGGCAGCAGUGGGGAAUAUUGCACAAUGGGCGCAGGCCUGAUGCAGCAACGCCGCGUGAGGGAUGACGGCCUUCGGGUUGUAAACCUCUUUUAGUAGGGAAGAAGCGAAAGUGACGGUACCUGCAGAAAAAGCACCGGCUAACUACGUGCCAGCAGCCGCAGUAA